rnacentral:rRNA from 1 species
CCUACGGGAGGCAGCAGUGGGGAAUAUUGGACAAUGGGCGGAAGCCUGAUCCAGCCAUGCCGCGUGUGUGAAGAAGGCCUUUUGGUUGUAAAGCACUUUAAGCGAGGAGGAGGCUACUAGUACUAAUACUACUGGAUAGUGGACGUUACUCGCAGAAUAAGCACCGGCUAACUCUGUGCCAGCAGCCGCGGUAAUACAGAGGGUGCGAGCGUUAAUCGGAUUUACUGGGCGUAAAGCGUGCGUAGGCGGCUUUUUAAGUCGGAUGUGAAAUCCCCGAGCUUAACUUGGGAAUUGCAUUCGAUACCGGGAAGCUAGAGUAUGGGAGAGGAUGGUAGAAUUCCAGGUGUAGCGGUGAAAUGCGUAGAGAUCUGGAGGAAUACCGAUGGCGAAGGCAGCCAUCUGGCCUAAUACUGACGCUGAGGUGCGAAAGCAUGGGGANCAAACAGGUAUUAGACUACCCGUGGUACGUCCGUACUAGUACCGUAAACGUAACGUAGUUACGUUACUUACGUACCGGUUCGGGGUCCGGUUUCGGUAGGUCGUUUACGGUUGGUCGGCGACGACGUAACCGACGAGUAA